AGUACCUACGGGAGGCAGCAGUGAGGAAGAUUGGUCAAUGACCGGAAGGCUGAACCAGCCAAGCCGCGUGAAGGACGAAGGUGCCAAGCAUUGUAAACUUCUUUUGUCAAGGGACAAAAUCAGGCUCGAGAGCCUGACCGAGGGUACUUGAAGAAAAAGCAUCGGCUAACUCCGUGCCAGCAGCCGCGGUACUACGGAGGAUGCGAGCGUUAUCCGGAUUUAUUGGGUUUAAAGGGUGCGUAGGCGGACUGUUAAGUCAGCGGUAAGAGUCCGGGGCUCAACCCCGGCGAGCCGUUGAAACUGGU
rnacentral:rRNA from 1 species